CCUACUUAUAUCAGUACACUCAUAACAACUUAAGCAUUACGAAACGUCUAUUAGAUCAAAUCAAUGUAAUAAAUAAGCCAUACAUUUUUUGGUUGACCAAAUUCGACUUUCUCAUUGACCUCCAUACAAAAACUCCUUUCUUGGUGGGUGAAACACCGAAAAACCGCCAACUGCUGGAGGGAAACAGAUUUUCCGCCGAUUUGGGUCUCUCGCUUCCUCUCUGGUCACCCAAGUUGAGGUUCACGUCGAAUGUGUCAACGAAAGCGAAUCUUAAUCGAACCUAACCUACAUGGAUAAAAAUAUAAACCAUGGAAAAACAUUGCUCGGAUCUUGUCCCCUGGACCUUGGAGGACUUUUGGUGUGGAUGAUGUUCAGGUUGGAUAUUCCUUUAAAUUAUUCCACUCAACUAUACCAUUUGAUUGUCAUUCCUUUAUUGAAAAUUGUACCUUGUUCACACCACAGGGCCUACCAAAGCAAGGUUUUUCAAACAAUUGUGGGGUGUUUGUUUUGAUGGUAAGAUGCUGGCUAUUCAGUAUAUUAUAUUAGUCCUAUUUUCUGUUAUAACAUACGAAAAGUUAUUAUUAUUUCUGUGCUUGCAGCAUGCUAAGCACACUAUUGUUCAUACUUUUUCUUGUUUAUUUAUCUUGACACUUUUUGGGACCUGUUUUUACACUACAUACACAAUUCAUACAUCAACCUCCUGCAGAGCUGGACGCUGAUGUGACAUGCUGUGACUUCUUGGGGGCGACAUCUUCUACAUCCUGAAAUAUAUUCCUGGGGGGGUGGUAUUAUUAUUAUUGUUGUUAUCAUAACUAUCAAACUUAACAACCUAUUCUUUCUUAACUUAUAGUACGCGCUAUACAUUGCAAUGGAAGCAUUGUGUGAUUUCACUGAGGUAUGUAUAAAUUGUGAAAUUCUCAUCACUAGUGGAUAUGUUUUUUUGGAUACCCAUCCGAUUUUGUGAUUUUCUUUUUCAAAGGAAAACAUGCAGCAAGUUAGGCGAUGGUGGUGCCUAGUUCUCCUGCAGAACUUUCCCAUGCCGUUACUCUUGAACGUUGUAAAAACUUUUCAUUUGCAUCCUUAAAAUCACUUGUUUCACUGUAGCCAGACUGAUCUGAAUAUAUUUUCAUAUUGAAUGUAUGUAAUGUAUGUCAUUCACUCACUAAGGUCUGAAGAAGAGAGGUUGAAAGAUCGAAAAAUACAGCAAAUACAAAACACACUACAGGUAGGUGUCACACGAUGAGUGGUAUAGUCAUAAACCAAUGGUUAAAGACUUCAUUGUAAAGGGUUUAAACACUGUUUCCCAUGCUUGUUCAAUGAACCAUAAACAAUUAAUGAACAUGCACCUGUGGAACGGU